rnacentral:lncRNA from 1 species
CCCUGGGCUCGCGGAGCUUCCACUGCGGCUGCGCGGCUGGCUGAGGAGGGCGGGGGGUGGCGUGCGGCUUCUACUGUUGCUGCUCACGCCAGACGCAAGCUCUCUAGUCCUCUUCUUGCGGCUCCUCCCUCCAGUCAAGUUCCGUCUCGGCUAGUGUGGAGCCUACGCUCUUUG